CAGCCGCCGCGGGAAAACGUAGGUGGCAAGCGUUGUCCGGAAUUAUUGGGCGUAAAGGGCUCGCAGGCGGUUUCUUAAGUCUGAUGUGAAAGCCCCCGGCUCAACCGGGGAGGGUCAUUGGAAACUGGGAGACUUGAGUGCAGAAGAGGAGAGUGGAAUUCCACGUGUAGCGGUGAAAUGCGUAGAGAUGUGGAGGAACACCAGUGGCGAAGGCGACUCUCUGGUCUGUAACUGACGCUGAGGAGCGAAAGCGUGGGGAGCGAACAGGAUUAGAUACCCCAGUAGUCCCUGUCUCUUAACA
rnacentral:rRNA from 1 species